rnacentral:rRNA from 1 species
GUCCUAGCCGUAAACGGUGUGAACUUGGUGUGGGAGGAAUUAUCCCCUUCCGUGCCGUAGCCAACGCGAUAAGUUCACCGCCUGGGGAGUACGGUCGCAAGAUUAAAACUCAAAGGAAUUGACGGGGGCCCGCACAAGCGGUGGAGCAUGUGGCUUAAUUCGAUGCAACGCGAAGAACCUUACCUGGGCUUGACAUGUGACUGGAUGCCGGUCGAAAGAUCGGAGGCCUUCGAGGCUGUCACACAGGUGCUGCAUGGCUGUCGU